rnacentral:rRNA from 1 species
UACGGAGGGGGCGAGCGUUAUUCGGAAUUAUUGGGCGUAAAGGGCGCGUAGGCGGCUGUACAAGUCAAAGGUGAAAUCCCUCGGCUCAACUGAGGAACUGCCUUUGAAACUGUACGGCUUGAGGCCGGGAGGGGGUAGCGGAAUUCCCAGUGUAGCGGUGAAAUGCGUAGAGAUGCGGAGGAACACCGAUGGCGAAGGCAGCCCCCUGGGCUGACACUGACGCUCAGGCACGAAAGCGUGGGGAGCAAACAGG